GGACCCNCACAANGCGGUGGAGNCAUGUGGNUUAANUUCGAAGGCAACGCGAAGAACCUUACCAAAAUCUUGGCAUCCUUNGANUGCUCUAGAGAUAGAGUCUUCCCCUUCGGGGGACAAAGUGACAGGUGGUGCAUGGUUGUCAUCAGCUCGUGUCGUGAGAUUUUGGGUUAAGUCCCGCAACGAGCGCAACCCUUAAGCUUAGUUGCCAUCAUUAAGUUGGGCACUCUAAGUUGACUGCCGGUGACAAACCGGAGGAAGGUGGGGAUGACGUCAAAUCAUCAUGCCCCUUAUGAUUUGGGCUACACACGUGCUACAAUGGACAAUACAAAGGGCAGCUAAACCGCGAGGUCAAGCAAAUCCCAUAAAGUUGUUCUCAGUUCGGAUUGUAGUCUGCAACUCGACUACAUGAAGCUGGAAUCGCUAGUAAUCGUAGAUCAGCAUGCUACGGUGAAUACGUUCCCGGGUNUUGUACACACCGCCCGUCACACCACGAGAGUUUGUAACACCCGAAGCCGGUGGAGUAACCAUUUAUGGAGCUAGCCGUCGAAGGUGGGACAAAUGAUUGGGGUGAAGUCGUAACAAGGUAGCCGUAAAGGG
rnacentral:rRNA from 1 species